GAUUUUGAUCCUGGCUCAGAUUGAACGCUGGCGGCAUGCUUUACACAUGCAAGUCGAACGGCAGCGCGGGGCAACCUGGCGGCGAGUGGCGAACGGGUGAGUAAUAUAUCGGAACGUACCCAAGAGUGGGGGAUAACGUAGCGAAAGUUACGCUAAUACCGCAUACGAUCUAAGGAUGAAAGUGGGGGAUCUUCGGACCUCAUGCUCCUGGAGCGGCCGAUAUCUGAUUAGCUAGUUGGUGAGGUAAAGGCUCACCAAGGCGACGAUCAGUAGCUGGUCUGAGAGGACGACCAGCCACACUGGAACUGAGACACGGUCCAGACUCCUACGGGGGGCAGCAGA
rnacentral:rRNA from 1 species